rnacentral:rRNA from 1 species
UACGUAGGGUGCAAGCGUUGUCCGGAAUUAUUGGGCGUAAAGCGCGCGCAGGCGGUUCUUUAAGUCUGGUGUCUAAGUGCGGGGCUCAACCCCGUGAUGCACUGGAAACUGGGGAACUUGAGUGCAGAAGAGGAAAGCGGAAUUCCACGUGUAGCGGUGAAAUGCGUAGAGAUGUGGAGGAACACCAGUGGCGAAGGCGGCUUUCUGGUCUGUAACUGACGCUGAGGCGCGAAAGCGUGGGGAGCAAACAGG